GACGAACGCUGGCGGCGUGCUUAACACAUGCAAGUCGAACGGAAAGGCCCUGCUUUUGUGGGGUGCUCGAGUGGCGAACGGGUGAGUAACACGUGAGUAACCUGCCCUUGACUUUGGGAUAACUUCAGGAAACUGGGGCGAAUACCGGAUAUGAGCUCCUGCCGCAUGGUGGGGGUGGGAAAGUUUCGGCGGUUGGGGAUGGACUCGCGGCAUAUCAGCUUGUUGGUGGGGUAGUGGCUUACCAAGGCUUUGACGGGUAGCCGGUCUGAGAGGGUGACCGGCCACAUUGGGACUGAGAUACGGCCCAGACUCCUACGGGAGGCAGCAGUGGGGAAUAUUGCACAAUGGGCGGAAGCCUGAUGCAGCAACGCCGCGUGCGGGAUGACGGCCUUCGGGUUGUAAACCGCUUUCGCCUGUGACGAAGCGUGAGUGACGGUAAUGGGUAAAGAAGCACCGGCUAACUACGUG
rnacentral:rRNA from 1 species